UGACUCUUUUAUUCUGGCAGAGCAGGGAGUAUCUACUCUCAGUCCGUCCACAGCAGAUAUUAAAUAGCAUCCCACGAAUAAACAUCCUUCAUCUAUAAGAACCUUAUCACCACACACACCUGCAGGGUGAGCUGGGCAGUCCUGGGGUGGGUGAGUCUCAGGGUGGAAAAAAAUCAACCCAACUCUUACAAGUCAGUCAAAUAUACUAAGAAGGUAAAUCUCCAUAAGCCACUUGCAGAAGCCAGCUAGAGUCCUCUUGUCCAAAGCUGGGUCAUAACCCACCAAAAACAAUCAGUGGGGAGGGAAAGAGGCAGCUCAAAAGUCAAGCAACUGGUGAGUCGUCCAGAUGAAGGAAAAGCAGAGCUUUCUGUCCUCUCUGAGCACCUCAAGGAGGAUUCUUGAGCCCUGUGAUCCCCUGGUAUACAGUAGAGAAAGGUUCCUAUAACAGCUACUGGCAGCAGCUUAUUUUUGCCAAGGACUCCAGGCAGGUCCGAAAGUGCAAGGUGCAUCCUGAAAUCUUCCAGUCUUCUUGGUACUUAAGAGAAUUUCCCUAGGAUGUCUGGAUGCAUGAGGUUCCAUGUCUGGCUGAUUUCUCCUCCACAAAGGCUAAUCUCCAGAGCUUUGCUCUGAAAUUGUAGAACAAGGGAAGAGGACAUUGCAUGCAUUUCGAAGACGUUUCUCCAAUUUAAAUUUAUUAGAGUUGUUGGAGUUUAGGUUAAGAGCUGAAUAACUGUCAGCAGUCACUACACUCACAAUACUCUUCCGGGUGCAUCGUUGCUUUGCAAGAUUUAAACAUUCUUUUUUGGCCGUGCCUGUAGGAUGUGGAAGUUCCCGGGCCAGGGACUGAACCCGCACCACAGCAGUAACCCAAGCCACUGCAGUGACAAUGCUGGAUCCUUAACCCGAUUUUGCCACCAGAGAACUCCCAGAUUUAAAUGUUCUUGAUAGUGGGACACAACACAAUGACACCUGGGCAGAUAAAAGGCAGAAUUCUCUGUGACUCAGGGCUUAAAAAGAGAGAAGGGCAUCAAGGAAGACCACACACUGGGCCGUCCAGCAGACACAGCAAGCAACCUGGAGCUGCAGAGAGCACCCUAUAUAUAGCAAGUCUCCUGGGGCCAGCUAGGUGUCCUAGGCUCCCUGAGGAUUGCUUGUCUGGAAUAACUUCAUGGGGUCAGGGGCAUACAGGCUGACUCUAGUUGCCUGGUACCCUGCCUCUGGGACAGAAGGAAUGGUGUACAGCAGCCCAGAGGCUGAGCGCCUGAUACAGAGAGUGGUUGGCUGUGGACUUAAUCAGCUGCUCCAAAAGGGGAAAUGAGUAGCCUCAAGCCAGGGACUCAAAGCUGGAUCAAGACACUAUUUUCAUAAAAGUACAGAGCAAAACACUGUGGAACUGCCAUAAAGACAAACAUCUAGACCACUGAAACAGAACAGAGGGCCCAGAACUGAAAGCCAGUAUACUUGAUCAAAUAAUUAACAAGAGUGUCAAGACGAUUCCAUAGAAGAACAGUCUUUCCCACAGAUUGUAGGCAAGUGGCUCUCUCCAUUCAAAUGAACAAAGUUGGACCCUGACCUUAACCACAUCCAAAAAUGUGCUCAAAAUGGAUCAGACCUAACAAGAAGAGGUAAACUCAUAAAACUCUUAGAUGAAGGCAUGGGGGAAAGCUUCAUGACAUUGGGUUUGGAAAUAACUUCUUGGCACUGACAUGAAAAGCAUAGGAAACAAAAGCAAAACUAGGUAAAGUUACAAACGUCUGUGCAAAGGACACAAUCAGCAGUGAAAAAGCAACCUAAUAAAUAGAAGACAAACAUUUGAAAAUCCUAUGUGUGAUAAGUGGUUUGUAUCUAGAUUGUAUAAAGAACUGCUAUAACGCAUCCAUAAGAACACAACUUGAUUUUAAAAGGGGCAAACAUAAGACGUUUUUACAAAGAAUGAACACAAAUGGCCAAGAAGGCAUGAUCACUAAUCAGUAGGGAAAUGCUAUAACAAAAAACAAAAAAACCCCAAAACCCACAAUGAAGGAGAAACUACCUCAUACCCAUUAGGACAGCUACUAUGAAACCUGAAAUGGAAAGCAGAAUUAAGUUGAUGAAGAUGCAGACAUUAGAACGAUGUGAAGUUUUGAUGGGAAUAUAACAUGCUCAAGCUGGUAAAACAGGUCGACAUAUUAAAAAUAGCAUGAUCACAUGAUCCAGGAAUUCUACUUCUGUUUAUACCCCCAGAAGAACUGAAAGCAGUAUUUUCAAGGAGGUAUGUGUGGAAGUUCCCUUGUGGCGCAGCAGGUUAAAGAUCCAGCAUUGCUGCAGCUGUGGCACAGGUCACAAUGUGGCAUGGGUUCAAUCCCUGGCUCAGGAACUUCCACAUGCCAAACAAACAAAAGAACAAAUCAAGGAGCUAUCUGUGCAGUCAUUUUCACAGCAGCACUUUUUGCGAAUGAGUUUUUUUUUUUUUUUUUUUUUUUUUUUNNNNNNUUUUUUUUUUUUUUUUUUGUCUUUUGUUGCUAUUUCUUGGGCCGCUCCCGCGGCAUAUGGAGGUUCCCAGGCUCGGGGAACAUGAUGGCUUUCAAGAGUGAGCUACAGGAGUUCCCGUCGUGGCUCAGUGGUUAACGAACCCAACUAGGAACCAUGUGGUGGCAGGUUUGAUCCCUGGCCUUGCUCAGUAGGUUAAGGAUCCGGUGUUGCCGUGAGCUGUGGUGUAGAUGAGCUGUGGUAUAGGUUGCAGACUCGGCUCAGAUCCCACGUUGCUGUGGCUCUGGCGUAGGCCAGUGGCUACAGCUCCGAUUGGACCCCUAGCUUGGAAACCUCCAUAUGCCAUGGGAGCGGCCCUCAAAAGGCAAAAAGACGAAAAAAAAAAAAAAAAAAAAAAAAA
rnacentral:lncRNA from 1 species